AAACAGUCUUCAGGAUUUAACUUGUCUGUACGGUAAGAGCUAUCUUUUCUCUGUUUCUCCAAUGCCCGGCAGGGGGCAGUCGGGAAAUGUCUGAAGAAGGGACGGGUAGUGGGAGGAAACGACACCCCUCAGCACUUCUGCAAGGGGCCUGGAUUUUGGUCCCUCAUUCCGAGAAAGAACUUAUGCCCCCUUUCCGCAGUUGAGAGUGGGAUGCACUCCUCCCAUGCAGAGCUUUUUAUGCAGCCCUGCGGAGAUGCCCGAGGAGGAGCAGCGCAUUCUCGGGACACGGUGGCCGCGCUGUCGCCUUGCAACCGCCUCUGGUCCAAACGUUCACGCCGAGCUGCCCGGAGCAAAGAGCCCCGCAGGCCGCCCGCCAUCGGGCUCCCAUGCUGCCUUCCCCCUGCCUUCCCCACCUGCUGGUGUGGGGUCUGCGCCCGCCAAGGUGGCAUGUGCACUUGGGCAUUUGCUGUUGCGGUGGUUAGUCACUGGAAAUGUGCCUGGAAGGUAAAGUUUAGGAGCGAAUUUACGUGGCGCGGACGCUGCAGUCAGGGGGCAAUUCUCCGUUGCCCUCGCUCGCGCCUAGCGCUCUCCUCCUGCGUCUGGCUCCCCAUGAUCCGGACUGUUGUUUUUAGAAGCUGAAAAUCAAGCCGGAUAUUACAGCCAACCUGUAAUGGGUGGGGAUGAGAAGAACUGAAAUCGGAGGAGACGCUCUUCUUUUGUGGCUUUAAACGUUGGCGUUUUCAACUAUUUUUACCAAGUCCUUUCGGUGGCAAGUCCUCUCGGUUCCUCUACACCUGGCUUUGAAAACUCAGGCCCAUCCUUCUUUCACAGUUGCCUCAGGUUUCCUUGGCUCCACAAUGAACACAGAGCAGCAGGCUUAACUGUGAGCCAGUAACAGUAUAUGGAGAAUUUUUCACAGCCUGUCUCUUAGAGGUACUUUGUCAGGAAAGAGCAUAUUUUCCUCCCCGGAAGUGCACAGCCUGCACCUAAUGGAACUGUCAGUCAAGCCUCUUCUGUCACAGAGCUGGGCACAAGCUCUGGGCUGGCCAAUCAGAGCAUCCAGGGCCACUAGAUGCAAAGGAUUUGGGUACAGAUGGGAAAAUACUGCAACUUGGGUGUUUAAAGACUGAUUUGGGAGCUGGGAAAGAUGCUGUCUCUCCCCUGAGAUUGAGGGCACAAAGAACUAGCUAAGCUUGGAGCUGUUGGUGUCCUCUUUGCUGUCAUGUGGGGUGAGCCUACCUGAGAAUGAGGGCAAUAGUGAGGAAAACAACAGAAAACUGAAGUGGUGGUGGAAAGAAAGAAGAAAGGGGGAAAAUUGAUGUUGUUUAAACUCCUGAACGUAGCUAUACUUCAACUAAAUUCAAACGUUUUUCUUUUAGUUUAUGUAAGCCAAUGAAUUACCAUUUUUUCCUGUUAGUUUCAAUUAUCAGGAUUGAGUCCUAUGUAACCCAAAAUGUCCCUUUGUUUAAAUGAAUGUUGAUAGUUGCAAUAAAAGUCUGGUGAUUAUGGUGACAGUUCAGUUUAACUCCACAGCUAUCAGUAGAAUAUAAAUACUUUCUCCCUAUCUUCACUGGCUUUUGAAAGAAACCCUUCUGCAAUUUCCCACAAUUAAUACGUAAACUAGGGAUACCUGAAUUCCUUUCCUGGGCUCCCGAUAGUACUUUGCCUUCAGCUCUUCUGUCUUCUGAAUGAAGAGACGAUACCCACCUGGCUGUGAAUAAACUCCCUGCUUCACAGCUCUUUCUAGGGGACUGAAAAGAUCCUGAAGUAAAGCUGAGCAACGAUCCAGUGAUGCCUCCAAGUUCUGUUGAUAAAAGUCAUCCUGUUUUGCUUCUAGCUGGGUCUUCAAAGGGACAAAUGUUCAUGGAAAAGAUGACAGCAACACUUCAGUAUCUCUAGAAAUGAUGCUCAAAGAGAAUCUCUGUAUUGUUUCUAGAAACUACAAGACUCCAAGCAAGACUAUAUCCUUUCUACCAAACCUAGAAAAGUUCCAAGGAUGAUACAUGCUAGAAAAAAUGGCUUUACUUUUGUGUUUGAAAUCUCCUGAAACCCCUUUCUCUUGCUACUUCUGCUUUAGAUGUGCUCUUCAGACCACAGGUCUCUAGGCUCAUGCCCAAAUAUUAAAACACAACCUAUGGUUUUACAACCAUUCCUGGUUCAGUAUUAUAUUGGGCCUGGGAUUCCCAAUAAGGAGGUGAAAUGGAAUAAUUAGCUAGAAUGACAUGAGUGUAUGCUAUUAAACUGGAGGCAUAAUCUUUUUGUAGAUCCAUCUGGUAAUUCUGUAUGCUUGAUUAAUAAAAAAGGAAAGUUAAUUAAUACUUUAUGAAUACAAUUUUUUAAGGAACAAGAUUACUUUUAAGAAAUUAGUCCAUGGAUGUAACAUGGUAAGAUGUGUUGUGUGUGUGUGAAAGUUUCAAAAUCUAUAGGGGCCAGAGUAGUUGCAUGUUUAUUUGUUUGUUUGUUUUUCAAAUAAAAGUGAUAUCUUGAUCAUA